CAACUACUCCCUCUGUCCCAAAUUUCUUGUCUUAGAUUUUUCUAGAUACAGAUGUAUCUAAUACUAAAAUGUGACUUGAUACAUCCGUAUCUAGACAAAUCUAAGACAAGAAUUUUGGGACGGAGGGAGUAAUUU
rnacentral:pre_miRNA from 1 species